UACGGGGGGCGCAAGCGUUGUUCGGAUUUACUGGGCGUAAAGGGCGCGUAGGCGGCGUGGUACGUCACUUGUGAAAUCUCCGGGCUUAACCCGGAAAGGUCAAGUGAUACUGCUGUGCUAGAGUGCGGAAGGGGCAACUGGAAUUCUCGGUGUAGCGGUGAAAUGCGUAGAUAUCGAGAGGAACACCUGCGGCGAAGGCGGGUUGCUGGGCCGACACUGACGCUGAAGUGCGAAAGCUAGGGGAGCAAACAGG
rnacentral:rRNA from 1 species